GUUUUAAUAGUUUAAGAUAAAAUAAUGAUCUUGUAAAUCAAUGAUGGGCUUGCCUUUAAAACU
rnacentral:tRNA from 1 species